rnacentral:rRNA from 1 species
GAGUUUGAUCGUGGCUCAGGAUGAACGCUAGCGGCGCGCCUAAUGCAUGCAAGUCGAGCGAUGAGGCACCUUUGGGUGUACAUCAGCGGCAGACGGGUGAGUAACACGUAGGUGACCUACCCCGAAGACGGGGAUAACAGGUGGAAACAUCUGCUAAUACCCGAUGGACUCUGAGCGGAAGCGAGGAGUAAAGGCUACGGUGCUUCGGGAGGGCCUGCGGCCUAUCAGCUAGUUGGUAGGGUAACGGCCUACCAAGGCGAAGACGGGUAGGGGGUGUGAGAGCACGGCCCCCCACAAUGGGACUGAGACACGGCCCAUACUCCUACGGGAGGCAGCAGCAGGGAAUAUUGCGCAAUGGGCGGAAGCCUGACGCAGCGACGCCGCGUGGAUGAAGAAGGCCUUCGGUUGUAAAUACUUUCUAGGGGACGGAGGAAGGACGGUACCCGUCGGAAGUAAGCGUCGGCUAACUACGUGCAGCAGCCGCCGCGGU